rnacentral:lncRNA from 1 species
AAAAACACUCUCCUUCACAACCAUCAGUUUCCUUCACGCAAGAAGUCUCGUGACCCUAAAAUUCCCUCCGCCUCCUCCCUUCUACGUUUCUUCCUGAGCUCCCCCAACUCAAAUCCCCAUCUCGAUCUCUGUCUCCCAAGGCAAAUCGAAAUCGAUCUUCCCCCUCCCAAAAACUGCUUGGCUAGCAAUUCUAUUCGUCGGAUACGGUGGCAACAGGAGAGGAUGCAUUGGAGCAGGCGCCCACAAGGAGGACGGUGGCGCGGCACCUUGGGGACAUGGCUGCGGGUGAGCUGGGCCAGGAUGGCUGCGUCAGGAGAUGGUGGCUUCGGAUGGUAUCGCCGCAAGAUGAGGCAAACGACAGCCGGAGCUACGAUGUCCACGAACGGUGUCCUAUAGGUCCAAUCGAUUUGCUAGGCAAUAUCACAGGUACUAAAGUUCUUCCUUGCUGUGCAGAUUGUUUGGAUGUCUAGAGAUAGGAGAAUUAAUACGUAGAUGGAUAAAGCAAAGCACCUUGUGCGAUAUUAAUGUAAAGUAAAAAAAAAAUACUAAAAGAAUAAAACUUGAGUCUUGACAUAACAGAUAAUUACUUUCUUGAUAUCAGAUCAGAAAAACAAACUAAACCUAAUACAAUUAUAGAGUGCAUACAUAGCAGUACAAACAUUUGAAAGAAAAAUAAAUUAGUCUAGGCUUGACCCCCUUCAAAACACUGAAAUAUAUGCUCAAUCAAAUCUGCUUUAAGACGAGGAUGCAUAUCUCUAUCCCGGAUAUCUUCUUUUAUUUCUAGAGCCCCGAAAAACCCAUGAAUUGACCCAUGUCCAUAAUUUAAUAAUGGUGUGGAGUUACCCGCAUCAUAUACAUACUCAUAGUCAUCAUCGUAGUGAACUCUAAAAGUAUCUCUUUCAUUCUCCACAUAUUGUGUUGCAUGAUCUCAGCAACUGAUUCAACUUGCCACAUACAUGCCAGGCUUCGUAGAAUGGCAAAGCAAGCUUCCAAAACACCAAAUGCACGUUCUAUAUCUUUUCUUGCUCCCUCUUGGCGUUCUGAAAACAACUUGUCUUUGUCACAUUGAGGCAAAUGGAUUGUUUUCACAAAUGUUGCCCACUUUAGAUAAAUACCAGGUAGUAUCCCAUAUUGUACUCAUUGCCAUUGACUGUAAAUUGAACCUCUGGAGCUCUCCCUUGUACUACCUCAGUGUACAAAGGGGAUCUAUUAAGGACAAUGAUGUCAUUGUUUGACCCAACAACACCAAAAAUGCAUGCCAUAUCCAAAGGUCAUGUGAAGCAACAACAACAUGACAGUGGGUCCAGGCUGAUCUCCACAUUUAUAUUGCCCCUUCUGUCAGGGAUAAAUCCCCAGUACCCGCAAGGAAGGAAUAAGACAGACUCCUACUAGGAUUCCUAUGUAAUCCUACUAGGACUCAUACCAUGUAAUCCUACUAGGAUUCCUACCUUGUAACCGACUAGUAAUCCCGCCCCCUGGAGUAUAUAAAGGAGGGCAGGGAUCCCUAGAUCGGUAGGCAAAGACCUCAUAGAACCACAACAAAGAACCAAAUCCUCAAGCCUAAACUAAGGCAAAAUAACACCCAACUGCAGGGCGCAAUAUACAACACCCCAAAUAGGACGUAGGGUAUUACGCUACUCUGGCGGCUCAAACCAGUAUAAAUCCAUGUCUUGUGUCCACGCUUUUACCUUUGAGUUCCACGUCCGGUGACCCCCCACCAACCAAUCUACUACCUUGGGAUAUCCCUCGGUCGGUUGCCGGAUAUAAAAUACGGACAUCUGGCGCGCCAGGUAGGGGUGAUCGUCGAGAUCAUCGGACGAGCUUGAAGGACCUCAUCAAGAUCAAUCUAUUCUACAAGAAAAGAAUGUUGUUCUCCCAUCCAAUCGAUGAAUCGGUGUGCAACUGCGUCAGAGUCCGAGGCGAGGUCACCGGACACGCUAAUUCCAAGCUAGCAUAUGUUCUCCACGAAUUGAAUUCAAAACGAAGUGCGGAGUGGAGCAAUUCACCUACCGUUGAUCAUCUCCAAGCAUCAAGAUUGAGAUGAGGGAAUCGAUUUCCUUAGUCGAGUACGAAGCAGAGAUCAACUUUGUUGAUCGGAGACGGAAAAGCACGCCAAGCAUCAAAAUAAAGAAACAGUUCCCACUGUUCCCUGUCGCGCUGGAAAUCAAUGGUGUAUUCAGCUAUGCACACACCAAAAAAGUUACCAGAAGGACUUCAGCUUGCAUGGCAACACCAACAAAUCUCCGACGAUGUGAUCGACUACUUCUGCAAGAGCAAGACGUCUAAUCCGGCUCGCUAACAACUACUUCAACUACUCGUCUCGACUAGAAAACUAGUCGAGGGUGGGCCUCGUACCAUUGACAACUAGUCGAAAUCAACUCUGACUAGUCAGCUUCAUCAACAACCGUCGCGGCUUUAUUGAUAAUCGUCCAUGAAUUAAGCUAAGUCAUUUUUUUAAUAAUUAUUUUUCCCUGGCUUGUUUUUAACAUGGUUGGUGAAUGCGUCGACUAUUAUUUGUGUACGCCUCUCGACAGGAAUUACCCUUCAGAGCUACACUUCGCUGAUAUUAGGAAGUAUAUGUGUAUUUUAGGAUGUAUUUACCUUUUCCUUGUACACUUGAUGUAUUCCUUGUACUCCAAGCCAUAUUGGCCAUAUGUAUAGAGGUCACCCCCUCAUUAGGGUGUCUGGUGUUUUCCCAUCUACUUCUCUAUGUGGUAUCGCGAGAUUAAGAUCGUUGGCCUUCUCUCCCUGUGCCUUCCCCUUGCUUUGCGCAACCCUAGGCGGCACCCCCCUGCUAUGCCGCUGCCACCCACCCUCCACUGCACCUCCCCGACCGGCCCAUAACCCACAGUCCUCCUUGUUGACCAACAACCAUGGGUUUAGUACACCGAAUUACGGAGGCUAUCGCCACGGGUUUGGUGCACUGAGUUUCGGAAGCUCCGUCACAAGCUUGGUACACUGAAUUAGAAGGUUCUGCCAUGAAGUUUGGUGUACUGAGUGUUGGAGGCUCACAGCGGCUACACCCUAUUGAGGCACAAAUCCUAUGAGCAGCAAACACGCGCUCUCCUCACAAAAAAAGGCAGAAAAGUCUCGAUGACUACUAUACGCACAAUCGCGCUCUCUUUUUGUCGCAAUGCCGACUACUUAUUUUCACUGUCUUCUCUUAGUGGUCACUAAUAUCCUCGAGCAAAACACGCCUCAAUUCGUGAAAGCCUCGAAUCUUCUGUCAUGCCUAAAUGCUAGGACGCGAGAUAAAGAUCUCCGUAGCAGCAGUGCCAGUACGCGUACACGAGACAAAGAUCUCACACGCAGUGGCAAUGGCUAAACAGGGAUUGAGAUCCUAAACGUAAUAGGCUAACUACUCGGGAAAAAUAUGGCUGAAACAAGAGCAUGACACACAAUAUUUACAUUAUAUUCAUCACUAAAUAAAUUUCAGUAGCUCCAAUAUUCUACAAAUAUGCUACAUAAUGUAUGCAUCUCUUUUUGCAGGUCAAGCUUCGGUGACGACUCUUCAGGACGCUCAGUGUACCUCGAAUAGCUCCGAUAGCUUCCAGGCUCGGGGGUCAAGCGCCAAUUAAUACUUGGAAUAUCUCCAAUGGCUCAGGUAGCUUCCAAGCUUGGGGUCUAAGCACCAAAUAACUACUCGACGUGGCUCCAACGCCUCACCUGGCACACAAGCUCAGGGGCUGGAUGCCAAAUGACUACUCGAAAGAUGACUUGCGUGAAUACUAAAGAUCCUCGAAUUGAUUAUUUAAUCAUUCCAAGGCUCAGGGGCUGAUAAGCUACAACCAACGGUUAAUUUUUUCAAGACAAAGAAAGAAGAUUCAAGAUUUUAUUGACCCUCAGUCUGAUUCUUCGAUUCAACCUAAGGCUCGGGAGCUACUCCAUACGGAGUGUGACUUCCGCCGCCCUCCAUAUCACAUUCCAAAGAUGAAGAUUACAAAAUCAAGACGAUCAAGAGCUUGAGCACACCAUAGCCUCAUGGCAGCUUUGAGUGUUGGAGGUAUGCCCUAGAGGCAAU